GUGGUGGCUCAGUGGUAGAGCGCUUGUCUCGUCAAAUGUGAGGCACUGGGUUCAAUCCUCAGCACCACA
rnacentral:tRNA from 1 species